rnacentral:rRNA from 1 species
GAUGAUCGCUGGCGGCGUGCCUAAUACAUGCAAGUCGAGCGAACAGACGAGGAGCUUGCUCCUCUGACGUUAGCGGCGGACGGGUGAGUAACACGUGGAUAACCUACCUAUAAGACUGGGAUAACUUCGGGAAACCGGAGCUAAUACCGGAUAACAUGUUGAACCGCAUGGUUCAACAGUGAAAGACGGUCUUGCUGUCACUUAUAGAUGGAUCCGCGCCGCAUUAGCUAGUUGGUAAGGUAACGGCUUACCAAGGCAACGAUGCGUAGCCGACCUGAGAGGGUGAUCGGCCACACUGGAACUGAGACACGGUCCAGACUCCUACGGGAGGCAGCAGUAGGGAAUCUUCCGCAAUGGGCGAAAGCCUGACGGAGCAACGCCGCGUGAGUGAAGAAGGUCUUCGGAUCGUAAAACUCUGUUAUUAGGGAAGAACAAAUGUGUAAGUAACUAUGCACGUCUUGACGGUACCUAAUCAGAAAGCCACGGCUAACUACGUG